AUGAUCGAAAUUAUUUAAAAUUUAUUCAUUUGUAAAAACUUCAAAUCUUCGAUGGAACUAUCGAUAGUAUCGAUGGCUCAUUCCAUCGAUGGAUAAAUCUAUCGAGGGUAACCUCUAUCGAUGGUUUUGCAGCCCUAGUCUGUCCGUUCGUAUGUGAGAACGCGUCGAUCUCAGCAACAUUGGCGCGCAAAAGGUGGAAAGCGAAGCGUAAUUAUGGCACCAACAAUUAGGUAAGUUUUCAUAACGCGCACACGACAAGAAAUGGCGGAGCUUUCAGAUAUAAAUGAAAGUUUAGGAAGCACUAGUGACGGCUCAUCUACUAGCGAAGUUGAGUUCGAUUUAUGGACCCACCACAAGGCACUGGCCCACAAAACCAGUAAGAAAGAC